rnacentral:lncRNA from 1 species
CCCUUUCGCCUUGUGACCUCCACAUGAUCAAGUACCAUCUGUGGCUAUAUCAAUGCCAACGGAAGUGGAUGCAUACCUAGUUAUUCAGAAUAAAACAAUGAAGAAGGAAUUGAGAAAACCAAGAAUGAAUAUUUUAUCUCCUCCACCACGGAAGCCACAGCAGAAUCUGGACAAAUUAUGAGGGAAUCAAGAUAUAAUUACCUGAGAAGCAGCAUAAAUAUCAAGGAAUUGGUGAGAAAUGGCAAUCCUCCUCAGGGGAGAGUUAGGAAGAAAGCUGCAUUGGAAAUUCCACAGAAGUAAAGGGACCCAUGGAUCUCUGUGGAAGUUACAGACACACAGCAAGAGCACAGACAACACAAAACCCUCAACAGCCAAGAACCUGAGAGAACACCAAUCUUGGAGAGUGAGGUAUUGAAAUAUCUCCAGGCUCUAAGCUUGUGCUCAACCUUCUUCACUUAAAUUUUGAAUGCGAAUGAAGCCAUUCUAGAUAACCAAGCCUAAUGGAACUGUAUAAUAUCUUCAGACUGACAUCAUGUUGACCUGGCAGGCCUAAGCAUAAAAUGUUAUCUCUGGUUGGAAGAUGAGGGAAAGAGGAAGUCCUGCCAGACUUUCAAACUUUUUGCCUGGAAGACUAAUUUGUAUUUCUACCAAUAACUUAAAUAGAAUAUUCAGGCUGAAACUCAACUGGAGUAAAUACUUUGCAUUUUAGCCUCAGAAUCCUGAUCAUAGCAAGUUAACUGACCAACCACCUCGCAGUUGCCUAUCUACAACGGUACUUCAAGAAGUUUGUGGAAAAUAGACUUAAGAGAUUAUUUUGAUGCCCAAAAUAAUGAAGCCCAUGCAUAUAAUUUGUAUUUCAGGAAAACAUAUGGUAUGAAAAAUCUAUACAUGAAUUUCACAAUUUUUGUACCAGAAUGUAUUUUAACUUCUUUUUUCCAUGAACUUUUUGAAGCAGAGAUGUUCUCAAACUGCCUUUCUCUAUAAUCUAUAUUUCUGAAUUUUUCAUCUUGAAUUCUAGAAACAAAACAAGAUUUUGGUCAAAUAGCAGUCUUUUCUGAAAGUUACCAUAGCAACAGAAUUACUCAUUUAACUCUCUCUUCCCUGUUUUAAGGGUACUCAAUUUAUAUUGAACUACUUAUUUCAUAGUUUAGCAGUUAUAGAUCAAAACUGCCACUUUUUUCUGUUAUUUUUAAGAGACAAAUCUCAUUAUUUUUCUGAAAAGAUUUCUUACCAUCUGCUAUGAUUUGUUCCCCAAGCCCAUGCAGAAAUUUAAAUCCCAAAGUCAGGAGCUAAUCGCAUGAAAGAAUGAGAUGUAAUCUUACUAGAGUGUUCCACAGUAGGACCCAUGGUUGGGAAGUAGUUAGGAUUAGAGCACUGGGAUGGAACCCCCUCACAGUUCAAUCCUGGUGACUUUCUAGAAAGAAGAGAAAUUACACCCAGAGAGGCAAGGACUUGCAUGUUCCCAGUCUCUUGCCAUUAUACCCUGUGCCACCUCAAAUCUGCUAGUACAGAUGUCAUCAUUAAUUGGCUUACCUGAUCUUUAACACUGGAUCUCCAGUCCAUGAGCAAAAAUAAACAUCUUUUCUUAUAAAAUUAGCCUGCUUCC